UUGAUUCCUGGCUCAGGACGAACGCUGGCGGCGUGCCUAAUACAUGCAAGUCGAGCGAAUCAAUAGGAGCUUGCUCCUGUUGGUUAGCGGCGGACGGGUGAGUAACACGUGGGCAACCUGCCUGUAAGACUGGGAUAACACCGGGAAACCGGUGCUAAUACCGGAUAAUCCUUUUCCUCUCAUGAGGAAAAGCUGAAAGUCGGUUUCGGCUGACACUUACAGAUGGGCCCGCGGCGCAUUAGCUAGUUGGUGAGGUAACGGCUCACCAAGGCGACGAUGCGUAGCCGACCUGAGAGGGUGAUCGGCCACACUGGGACUGAGACACGGCCCAGACUCCUACGGGAGGCAGCAGUAGGGAAUCUUCCACAAUGGACGAAAGUCUGAUGGAGCAACGCCGCGUGAGCGAUGAAGGCCUUCGGGUCGUAAAGCU
rnacentral:rRNA from 1 species